AAACCUCAAAACUUACAUGUUCCCAAAACUAAAUUGUUUCAACUUUCUCAAGGCUAAUUAAUUGUCAUAAAGAGCUACUAAUUGGAUCAAAAGAAAAUGAAGACCAUUCAAUUAAUAUGCAUCGUCUUCGUCGUACUCUUGUCAUCAUUCCCGGCUACAAUCAAGAGUAAGAAGUUGGCAGAUACUUGCUUUGAAAGUCUUGCUUACUGCAUGAACCUUAUUCCUAGAGAUAAAAAGUACUGGGAAAAGGACUGUUGUAACGUUCGUGCAAAGCGAGAUCAAGCGGCGACAAAACAAUGUUCAUGUAUAAUAGCGAAUAAUCCUCAGAAAUAUCUUGAUCUCAUCAAGCUUUUCAAAGCCUGUGGAUUAGGCAAUGUAGGUAAUUAUCACAACCAGCCUUGCAAAUGAUACGAGCCGAACAUAGUCAACAAACCCAACCGCCAAGGAUCGUCAAACCAAAUUGGAGAUAUUUAUUUAUACGCAAUCAUCGGUUAUUUCCUUAUAUAUUUUAUCAUUUUAAUUAAGCUAUUGUUUAAUAAGGAGAGAGAAUUGGUCUUCUACAUGUUCGUGAACCAUCUCUCUCAUUUUUAUUCUGCUCGCAUGAAUUACAAAUUUACAAUUCCAUGUUCUUUUGUUUCUAGGUAUUUUUUAAUAUUUUAUGAAAAUAAAACUAAAAUAGGUUGUCUACUCUAAAUUACCAUUAAGAAUUUUUGUUGUUCUUAAUCUUGGUACUUUGAGACUUGUAACACCAACUAAUAGUACAAUCCAUAAUUAUUAUGCAAGGGGAUAUUUUUCAAUCCAAAAAUUAGUCUAAUGCAACUUUGGCUUUGAUUGGUCAUUCAUAGAGUAAAAGGGAGAAAUAUAAAAACGUCAGAAGUGAGAAGAAAAAAAUGAAGAAAUAUUGUUACUCUCAUUAAAUCUAUUUAAUCUCGAGUAAAAUUGAAUGUAUAUUUAUAUUUGUUUUGUUUACACAAUAAUAAGAGUAAAUGAGAAAAAUCUAGUUAUAUAUAUUAUAUCAUGAAAAUUUCAAAUUUGUUUCAAUUAUUAUAACUCUUUAUACUGUAUUAAAUAAUUUUUUGGUCAAAUUAAAUAAGAUAUUCUUAAAUCUAUAAACUAAAAAUAAGUAAAAUUGGGGUUUGCUACCAAAUAUGUAUUCUUCUAAAUCGAUUAAAUAUCAAUGAGAUUAACCAUUACACACGUAUGAUAAGGUGGUUUCCUUAUAUUUAUGACAUUUUUAUUCCAUUAUUCUUACUUGGUGCCAUAAAUUCAUUUUUAAGAUGAAAAUAUAACAAAAACUUUUUUAGAUAUAUACAUUUCAUCUAGUAAUAUAGUACUUCUACUACUUUUGAAGAGAAGAUGGAAACAUGUCUGCAGAUAAUCUCUUCGUCAAGACUAUCUCAUCUCCAAGACCUACCAAAUUUGGAUCCUCUGGCGAAUAAGAAAGAGUUGUAAUAUACUCGUAUUCCAACAAAAACAGUUACGUUGGAAAAAUAGUUCUUAAACAGUCUCGUGUAGAUGCAAAUGAAUGGAAAGAACCGGAAGAAGCACAAAAACAGCUUCACCAAGGUGAAAACAACGAAAUCGGAAUGUGAUUAUGAGACCAGUGAGGAAAAGAUGGACCCCUCCGCAGAAUGGAUGGCUAAAGUGCAACAUAGAUGGUUCGUAUGUGGAUUCUUUCACACCAAGUACAGCUGGAUGGGUUAUAAGAGACUCUAAUGGAUACUAUCUUGUAGCUGGACAAGCAAAAGGAAACAAAGUACAUAGUGCUCUGGAAUCUGAAAUACAGGCUCUUCUUAUUGCAAUGCAGUUUUGCUGGUCUAAAGGUUACAAGAAGAUAAUCUUUGAAGGAGAUAAUAAAGAUCAUAGAUAUUCUUACCAAGGAAAGGCUCCAUUUUGAUGUUCAUAACUGGAUAAGAGAGAUGAUUUGGUGGUCUUCUAAGUUUGAAGAAGUUCAAUAUCACUGGAUUGGCAGAGAAGGGAGCACUGUUGCAGACCAACUCGCAAAACAACAACUACCGGAAAAUAUUUCUUAUGUUUUUCAUUUCUUUGUUCCAAGAUGUAUGAAUUCGUUUUUGCAUCAUGAUUAUGUAAAAACAAAAGAUUUGUUUAUUGAAAGUUACAUAAUCAAUAAGCGAGAUGAAGUAGAUUGUUUCUAA